AACAUGUAAAGGGUAAACUUCAACUCCAAACAUCUGACUGAGACACUCGGACGUUUGUCAAAGAGAAAAUACAUCUGAUUUUGUGUUUUUCUUAAAUUUAAGGACAUGCGUCACAGAGUCGAGUCUUCACCAGUGCACGGCGCCAUGUUGAGAGUCCAGGAAGUAAAGGAGGUUUUCAGAUUUCCACACAUCGUCGUCGGCUGAGGAUGAGUCUUCACAUGGUUCUCCAUCUUGAACUGGGUGGACGUUGUCAUGUGAUGCAGUGAAGACGUGGUUGUUUAAGAUGGAGAUCUUCUGAUGGCUCUUUGAAUAAGGGAGGACAGGAUGGAGCCAAAGACCCUGCUGCAAAUUCUGGAAAGGCUGUCCAAUGAGGACUUUGAAAAGUUCCAAUGGUACCUGAAACACCAGGUCUUCCUGAAGGGCCUCCCCUUAAUUCCACUGUAUAAACUGGAGAAUGCAAACAGGAUGAAGACAGUGGAUCUCAUGAUGCACUGCUAUAGUCGUCAAACUCUGGAGGUCGUCAUGAAGAUUUUGGAGGAGAUUCCCAGGAAUGACCUUGUGGACAAGUUAAAAGAACAGUUCUGUGUAUCUGAAGGUAAACAGGAUGGAGAGAUGAGACCUGGACCUGGACCCAGCUUUGUGUCCAAGAAGCCUCAUGG